rnacentral:rRNA from 1 species
GAUGAACGCUAGCUACAGGCUUAACACAUGCAAGUCGAGGGGAAACGACAUUGAAGCUUGCUUCGAUGGUCGUCGACCGGCGCACGGGUGAAUAACGCGUAUCCAACCUGCCUCUGACCAAGGGAUAACCCGUCGAAAGUCGGCCUAAUACCUUAUGCAGUCGUCGGAAGUCAUCUGAUGACGACGAAAGAUUUCAUCGGUGAGAGAUGGGGAUGCGUCUGAUUAGCUUGUUGGCGGGGUAACGGCCCACCAAGGCAACGAUCAGUAGGGGUUCUGAGAGGAAGGUCCCCCACAUUGGAACUGAGACACGGUCCAAACUCCUACGGGAGGCAGCAGUGAGGAAUAUUGGUCAAUGGGCGAGAGCCUGAACCAGCCAAGUAGCGUGCAGGAUGACGGCCCUAUGGGUUGUAAACUGCUUUUAUGCGGGGAUAAAGUGAGGGACGUGUCCUUCAUUGCAGGUACCGCAUGAAUAAGGACCGGCUAAUUCCGUG